CAGGGCCUGGGAAGGAAUAAGAGAAGCCUAGGGAGCCCAGCUGUGCUGUGGGCUCAGGAGGCAGAGCUCUGGGUGUCUCGCCAUGGCCUGGACUCCUCUCCUACUCCCCCUCCUCACUUUCUGCACAGGCUCUGCGGCCUCCUAUGAGCUGACACAGCCACCCUCGGUGUCAGUGUCCCCAGGACAGACGGCCAGGAUCACCUGCUCUGGAGAUGCAUUGCCAAAAAAAUAUGCUUAUUGGUUCCAGCAGAAGCCAGGCCAGUCCCCUGUGCUGAUCAUCUAUGAGGACAGCAAACGGCCCUCUGGGAUCCCUGAGAGAUUCUCUGGCUCCAGCUCAGGGACAGUGGCCACCUUGACCAUCAGUGGGGCCCAGGUGGAGGAUGAAGCUGACUACUACUGUUACUCUGCAGACAGCAGUGGUAAUCAACACAGUGACACUGGCAGAUGGAGAAGUGAGACAUAA